rnacentral:lncRNA from 1 species
AUUUAAUGCAAGCUAAGGUACAUUGCUGCCAUCCUUUCAAAUUUUGUUCUGGCUUUUUCCCCUCUCAAGUUUAUGCAGUUUGUUGAAAGAACUAGAAUUCAAAAUCCACUAGUGCUAGCAUCAUCGCUGAAUGAUUCUUUAAGGAAUUUCCCUAGAGCUGCUUUAGCAAUUUGUCCAACUGAGAAUUAUUACAAAUAUCAUCUUUAAAAAAUUAAACAAAUAAAAAAUUAAAAAGAUGUUUAAAAAAUUAAAAAGAUUCAGAUGACAUACCCAAGUCUAAGUAUUCAUUAUGUUUGCCUUUGCCUUUGUCUUCGGGCUCUGUCUCGGCAGUGUCUUCACCAAGGCACAGAGUUGGAAAAAGGUGAUCUUGGAGCAAAAAUCCCCCGUCUUUAAAGGUAAGGUACAUUGCUGCCACUCCUUGCAUGUAUCUAAUCUCUCUGUAAUUUUUGGUGAGGCAUGACAUCCAUCUAUGUAUGUUACAUUUUUUCUUCUUUUUCCCUUUCUUUGUUUCUUUCUUUUCUCUUGGAGUCAAUUUUUGCUGACUUAUUCUAGCUCACCACCCAAACCGAAGCCAGCCCAAACCCUCUUAUGCAAUAUUUUGACACCACCUUUUUAAACACAAACAUGGUAUGAAAAUAAAGGCAAGAAAUUGAACCCUCUGCUUCUUCUUCGAAUGUACUUUUAAAAUUGGUCUUUUAUUGUUUUGUUUUGUUUUUUUUCAAAGGACGUGUAGAUGUUAUGUUUAGAAGAUGGUUGUGUAUUGCCGCUUCUGACUUGAGGACCACCAUUGUAUUUGUAAUGCAUUUUAGUUAUAUUAUAUCGGUUACCAAUUUUUAGUACCUCUUGCUCUGUUUUGAUGUGUAUAUUUCUAGAAGUAAAAGGUUUUAUGCAAAUUUAAUGCAAAAGAUUCAAUCUCUUCUUGCAAACUUCAUUUUAAUUAUAAUAAAUGGAUAUUUAAAAGCAGUUUUCUUUUUGUAUACUUCUGCUAGAAAAUAUAUUUUUAAGCUAACUGAAGUUUUUUGGAUGGGUAAUUCUACUACUUUUGUAGAGUCAGUAUUUAUUUGAACUAAUACAUGAAGUUGCAAAAUUAUUUUUCUAAUUUGUUUUUUGGUGGAGUGAGAUGGUAUUGUGAAAAUUUCCUUUGUUUAUCUUUUAAUAUUAAAGAAGAAGAAUGUAAUAAUAUGCCAUUUUGCCAGAUAUAACAAUUAACUACCUUUUUUUCUUGGUUUUUUUAAAAUUAAGCACAUGGGAUAAGAUAGAAACAAAUGCAAAACAAACAAAAAGUUUGCUAGUUUCUGGAAAUUGCUUGCCAGUUGAAUGAAGUUAUUAUUAAAAAUAAAUAAAAUGAAUGCAUACGGCAUCAACCUUUGUUUCCUAAUGGAAUGUCAAGAUACUGUUAUGUUCAGUUCAUUCAUUCAACUUUAUUAGGUCUUCUAUGUUCAGUUCAAAUUGAUUGUGCUCUGUGUUUUUUCGCAGUUUUAGCACAAUCUUUUGUUAAUGAAUAAAUUGUAAUUUAUUACAUAGGUAACUCCUCGAAGAAGGUGAAAUACAUAUUAUGGCAUUUGUCAUCUAAUUGUUCUUCUGCCCCCUCUACCUCAUGCCUCUGCUUAAUUUUUUUUGGCGGAUCCCAAGUACAUGAUUGCCGUCGUCGUUUGAACUCUAUCCUGAUAUGAAACUAUUCAUUAUGCUAUAUAUGGUCAGUCCAAGUGAGGCCAUUGUAGUUUCUCAGCAUUGUCUUAGAUGUUUUCCCUCUGGUGUUAUUUGUAGAGUUAAGCAUGUAUAUGCACAUAUAUGCAUACAUAUGAUCAUUGUGGCUGAUCCAGCGUUUUAUUUUUCAUCAGAUCAUAAGAAGUAUAUUUGAGGUUUUGUGUUUUGAGUGUUGGUAUGUUAUAGAAUACAUUUGCUUGACUCUUCAUCAACUGGACCUUUGUUUGAACAGGGAGGUGGAUGGGCAAAUAAUCAGUGAUAAGAUGUGCAUCGGGAUGGCACCACUAUUUUUAGUGUAACAUCAUGGAAGUGCUCCCUUACUCCAGCUUUCAGCAACAACUUCUGUCUAUGAUGGAGAAUCCAACUGCCCUGAGCAUGGAAAUCAAGAGCAAGUGGCAGAUGGCAGAGUAGAUGACUUAUUGCCAAAUGUGGAAAGGCCUCAACUAGUAAGACAAGGUCAAGUUCAAGAGGCAGUUGAUGAAUUGCAUACCUCAGAAGGUUGUCAAAAUGGAGCUUCAUGUCUUGAUUGUCAAGCAGAGGAGGGCCAAAAGUUAUCCAGUGUUUUGCAUGAUUUUGAUGGUGAUGACAUAAAUGAACAGAAUUACAAGGAUGUCAAAAUGGAGCUUCAUGUCUUGAUUGUCAAGCGGAGGAGGGCCAAAAGUUAUCCAGUGUUUUGCAUGAUUUUGAUGGUGAUGACAUAAAUGAACAGAAUUACUGCACAGAACCUUGCCUAACCUCUGGCAAUGGUCAUCUGAUUGUAGAUAGCAGGGAAAGUGAGUUGCCAAACAACAUUUGGGAAGGAGAGUCGUAUCUUUGAGAGCCUACGUAGCUAGGAAGUGAUGAAUCUGUGGCACUGUGGAUCAAGGUAACUUUUAUUUCUUCCACUUUCAAAUCUUUGCUUUGUUAUCACAACCUAAACCUUUUCUUAUGCAAUUUCUCGUGCCUGUUGCAUAUCAAGUUGGCUAGCCUCAUUAUCUUUACCCAUAAGUUUACAGUUCUAGGAUGCCUCCAACUGGCUGCUUGUGCUUUUCCUCCUUUUCCCCCUUGAUGUUCAAACAUAACAUCAUUGCAGGUUUGAUGCUAGGUUUACCCAUAAGUUUACAUUACACUUUUAAAAUUUUAAAUUUUUUGUUAAUUAUUGCCUAAUGUUUGAUGCUAGGUUCUUCUUUGAAGCCAAUGUACCAGUGUCUUUUGUUAAUUAUGACGAUGGAAAACCCGCAAAAUACUGGCUGAGAAUAUUGCACAGCUAAACUCCGCCAUAGACGAUGUUUCUGCUCCGCUGCAUGCAGACGAUGCCCCAAACGGAGCUGCAGUGGCUUCAGAUGAAAUUGAAGCUUCCAUAUAAUAGAAUGCUUGCAGAGUUUUUGUAUAAUUUGGUAUGUGUUUAGCGGUGGAAAUAAUGUUUAGUGUAAGAUCAUUGACAAGAUAUGCAUCGAAUGAAACCACUAUUUUUAGUGUAAGAUCGUUGAAGUGCUCCCUUACUCCAGCGUUCAGCGACAAAUUCUGUCUAUGAUGGAGAAUCCAACUGCCCUGAGCAUGAAAAGCAAGAGCAAGUGGCAGAUGGCAGAGUAGACGACUUGAAGAGAGAGAUGAUGACAUUAACCUGGUUGUGUUUGUUUAAUUUAUUGUUUACUUGAAGAGAGAUAUUACACGAGUUUAAAGGUAUUGAAGUGUAUAGUCCUGAUCUCUUGGACCCCUGUAGUCCAAGAGAUUUAUGGUCACUCACAGUUGGAUGUAAAUUCAACGGUUGACUUGAAUCGGGUAAUAAUCAUUUAUGUCAUAUUGCAUUUAUAUAUAUAUCAUUUUGAAUCAUUGGAUUAAUAUCCAACGGUGGGUGACCACAAUCUCUUGGACUCCUGUGGUCCAAGAGAUCGGGACUGUUGAAGUGUAUCCCUUUUGGCAACGCUUAAAUAUGUACAGAUGUUUUGUCUCUCGGAUAUGCUAAAGUUAAUGCUGCUUGGAUUUGUAUGCUUUCUGGUUACCUAGUUUUAAAUUAUUGGAGUUGUACGAUUUUGAAC